GGCAGCCGCGGUAAUUCCAGCUCCAAUAGCGUAUAUUAAAGUUGUUGCAGUUAAAAAGCUCGUAGUUGAACUUCGGAAUUUGCCCAUUGGUCAGGCUUAACUGUCUGCACUGGUGUGACGAGUUCCUACCUUCUGAGGAAUCUCCAUGUCAUUCAGUUGGUGUGGGGGGAAAUCAGGACUGUUACUUUGAAAAAAUUAGAGUGUUUAAAGCAGGCGUCCGUCUGAAUGCAUUAGCAUGGAAUAAUAAAAUAGGACGGUUUGGUUCUAUUUUGUUGGUUUCUAGGAUCACCGUAAUGAUUAAUAGGGAUAGUUGGGGGCAUUAGUAUUCAAUUGUCAGAGGUGAAAUUCUUGGAUUUAUUGAAGACUAACUACUGCGAAAGCAUUUGCCAAGGAUGUUUUCAUUAAUCAAGAACGAAAGUUAGGGGAUCGAAGACGAUCAGAUACCGUCGUAGUCUUAACCAUAAACUAUGCCGACUAGGGA
rnacentral:rRNA from 1 species